rnacentral:lncRNA from 1 species
GGUAACCCCCUUGGAUCCCCUUCCACACUGUGGGAGGUUUGUUCUUUUGCUCUUUGCAAUAAAGCUUGCUGCUGCUCACUCUUUGGGUCCAGACUGUCUUUAUGAGCUAUAACACUCACCGGGAAGGUCUGCAGCUUCACUCCUGAAGCCAAGGAGACCACGAACCCACCGGGAGGAAGGAACAACUACAGACACGCCGGCUUAAGAGCUGUAGCACUCACUGCGAAGGUCCGCAGCUUCACUCUUGAGCCAGAGACCACGAACCCACCAGAAGGAAGAAACUCCAAACACAUCCGAACAUCAGAAGGAAAAAACUCCAGACACGCCGCCUUUAAGAACUGCAACACUGCGAGGGUCCGCGGCUUCAUUCUUGAAGUCAGUGAGACCAAGAACCCACCAAUUCCAGACACACUACCAAAGGCAGAGGGGAGCUCCUAGACAAAGAUAUUUUGCUUACAAAUGGAACAUAUCAAAUCAAGCUUUUGUGAACUUGAGGGAAGAAACAAAGAAUAUGAAGCCUAAAUGGAAGUGUCAGGAAAUGGUCGCCUUGCGGACAAGGAAACAGCAGCCUGGAAGGCCAGGAGAGGGCAGACUACCCACCUAACCCUCUGCAGAAUUUUGUGUGGACCCUGGAGACCAGAAACUAACUUCUCCUGCAGAGACAAGGUCUUGCUCUGUCACCCUGGCUGGUCUUGAACUCCUGGCUUCAAGCAAUUCAUCCAUCUCAGCCUCCUGAGUAGCUGGGAUUACAGGUACAAGCCACUGCACCCAGCUGUUUUUUGUUUUGUUUUGUGUUUUCUCCUCACCAUAUAAGUUUAAUUGCCUAGUUUAAGCUCCUACCGUCUUUCAUCUUCAACACAGAACUAUCUUGGUGUUAAGAAAUCUAUCUUUAACAUUUGCUGAUUGGCUGACUAAUCACUGUAUUAUGAGUUAUAUCCAUUAUAAUGUUUUUAACAUGUUUAUUUUACUCAAUGGGGAAUCUAGAUGACUUGCUGCAUGUGAAGAACAGUUCCUGGCACAGGGUUUGCUCCAAAUAAAUGUUGUCAUCAUCACCAGCACCAUCAUCGUCACCAUCAUCAUAAAUAAAAAACAGUGAAGCAUAGACAGUUUUUGCAAGAGGCCCAAGAUCAUACAUCAAAUAUGUGCACAGCCAGGACCUGAACCAGUUGAUAUCUACAAAUGCCUGGCUUUUGCCACUGGGCUCCUUCAGUCGUGCUGGUGAUUGCUGGGAAGAGAUGGAGAUAAGCAGCCUUGACUCACUCCGG